UACGGAGGGUGCGAGCGUUGUCCGGAAUCACUGGGCGUAAAGGGCGCGUAGUCGGCCUGAUAAGUAGGGGGUGAAAUCCUGCGGCUUAACCGCAGGGCUGCCUUCUAAACUGUCAGGCUCGAGCACAGUAGAGGCAGGUGGAAUUCCCGGUGUAGCGGUGGAAUGCGUAGAGAUCGGGAAGAACAUCAGUGGCGAAGGCGGCCUGCUGGGCUGUUGCUGACGCUGAGGCGCGACAGCGUGGGGAGCGAACAGG
rnacentral:rRNA from 1 species